GGCGAACGCUGGCGGCGUGCCUAAUACAUGCAAGUCGAACGCAUUUUCUUUCACCGUAGCUUGCUACACCGACAGAAAAUGAGUGGCGAACGGGUGAGUAACACGUGGGUAACCUGCCCAUCAGCGGGGGAUAACACUUGGAAACAGGUGCUAAUACCGCAUAAUUCCAUUUACCGCAUGGUAAAUGGAUGAAAGGCGCUUUUGCGUCACUGAUGGAUGGACCCGCGGUGCAUUAGCUAGUUGGUGGGGUAACGGCCUACCAAGGCUGCGAUGCAUAGCCGACCUGAGAGGGUGAUCGGCCACACUGGGACUGAGACACGGCCCAGACUCCUACGGGAGGCAGCAGUAGGGAAUCUUCGGCAAUGGACGCAAGUCUGACCGAGCAACGCCGCGUGAGUGAAGAAGGUUUUCGGAUCGUAAAACUCUGUUGUUAGAGAAGAACAAGGAUGAGAGUGGAAAGUUCAUCCCUUGACGGUAUCUAACCAGAAAGCCACGGUUAACUACGUG
rnacentral:rRNA from 1 species